GACGAACCGUGCGAACGUUGUUCGGAAUCACUGGGCUUAAAGGGCGCGUAGGCGGGCUAUCAAGUCCGGGGUGAAAUCCUCCAGCUUAACUGGAGAACGGCCUCGGAUACUGAUGGUCUCGAGGAGGAUAGGGGCACACGGAACUGUGGGUGGAGCGGUGAAAUGCGUAGAUAUCGGAAGGAACGCCGGUGGCGAAAGCGGCCCGCUGGACCCUCUCUGACGCUGAGGCGCGAAAGCCAGGGGAGCAAACGGG
rnacentral:rRNA from 1 species